rnacentral:rRNA from 1 species
UACGUAGGAGGCAAGCGUUGUCCGGAAUUACUGGGCGUAAAGCGCGUGUAGGUGGUGGGACAAGUCUGCUGUGAAAGCGCCUGGCUUAACCGGGCGAGGUCGGCGGAAACUGUUCGACUCGAGGACGGUAGAGGGGGGUGGAAUUCCCGGUGUAGUGGUGAAAUUCGUAGAUAUUCGGAAGAACACCAGUGGCGAAGGCGGCUCACUGGACCGGCAUUGACGCUGAGGUGCGAAAGCGUGGGGAGCAAACAGG